rnacentral:rRNA from 1 species
AGAGACAGCAGCAGCCGCGGGAAUACGUAGGGUGCAAGCGUUAAUCGGAAUUACUGGGCGUAAAGGGUACGCAGGCGGUUUUUUAAGAUGGAUGUGAAAUCCCAGGGCUUAACCUUGGAACUGCAUUCAUAACUGGAAAGCUAGAGUACGGAAGAGGGGGGUAGAAUUCCACGUGUAGCAGUGAAAUGCGUAGAGAUGUGGAGGAAUACCGAUGGCGAAGGCAGCCCCCUGGACCUGUACUGACGCUCAUGCACGAAAGCGUGGGGAGCAAACAGGAUUAGAUACCCGAGUAGUCCCUGUCUCUUAUAC